GAAUUUUUUUAAAUCUUUGGCACUUUUACAGAUUACACUCUAUAUUGUAGAAACCUCCCCAAUUAAAAAAAAGAAAGAAAGAAACCUCCCCAAUUACAUGACUCCCUUCAUACUAGGAAGGAAUUGUCAAAAAGGUAGGAGAAGACCAAGUUCAAGUAGUACCAUAGAAUUCUAGGGAAGGUACCCUCAGAGAGAGAGGGUUCAGUAGUGUUCAUUGCUGCAGAUGAAGACUAAGAAAAGAAAGAACAUAGGCUUUGACUUAUGAAGGCUUCAGCAUUGUUUUUUCAUCCUUUCCCCAUUUCUGACAAAUUUUCCUGAUUCUUCUCUAUCUUUAGCAUUAGGGCUCUUUCCACUCCCCAUUGAGAGAAUCGCCACUAUCCCACUAUCUUAAGACAAGCCUGAAGAAGUAGGAUCAUGGAGCUCCAAGGAAGACUUCCUCAAGAACCUUAAUUUCCUUCUCCUGUCUUCAGUUGGAGAAGUCUUGUACCUAGAAAUUUCACUAACAUCUUGCACGAUGAAACUUGAAAGUGGUAGAACAUGAGGAGACGCUUCCUUAAAUCCUUAAACCACACCCUGAAAAUUCUGGAGGCCACGCUUAGAGGCACUAACUGCACAACAGUCUCAUGGCCCACUGUCACAUCACGGGCAGCAAGUUCAGUGCACCUGCUCUGGAUUCCUGGCAGAAGAAUCUAAGGACGCAGAACAAGGCUAAACGAAAUUAUGCCAACCCCGCGGUGCUGUUUUCCUUAUACUGUAUGGAAGAGAGCAAGUCACAGAUGGCACUGGUCACCAUCCCAUGAUGGAUCACCUGGCCCCUGAGUAGGUAGUUAGGUAUAGAAUCCUCAUUAUCUGACUUCUGGCUCGAUGUCCUUUUCACGGUUACAGUGUCUGCCGCAAGAAGAAAAGGAAAAUAGGUAUACAGAAAACAGAGAAGCGGCUACUUACACAUGUCAUUAGGAAGCCUAUCGAUGACUUUGAAAUUGGCUCAUAAAGGGAAAAACAGAGACUGUCCUAAUAAACUCAGUGCCUGAUGAGCAUAACUAAAUCUUUUUGCAGCCUUGGGAUUUCUAUAGUUUAAUCCUUUGUGAAAUAAAAUACACCACAAUGGCUGUAACACACCACUUUGUGACAAUCUUACCUUUGAGAAAAUACUACAUAUGUCUUUAUAAAAAUAAUUCUGGAAUACCUCUUAGUACCUGUAUGCUAGUAUUAAAAGUCAAGGUCUAUAUAUUCACAUUUUCAUGAAUAUGAAUAUCAAAUAUUUAUUGACCUGUAUUAAUUUAAUAAUGUAAAAGAUGAUGCUCUAAGAUCCUGGUAUCCUCUUUUAUCCCCACUCAAUCUGAAGCAAUACCAGAAGGAAAUUCCACUUGACAUUCUUUAAUAUAUUCAAAACAUAAAAUAAAGAAGGCAAUGAAAAUAUAGUAAACAGUAGACUCCUUUCAUUUAGAAGGGAAGGAAGAAACAUAGAGCCUGAAAGAAUCUGUGGUUGUUCUAUGAGAACUAGUCUUAGGAAAAAAAAAAAAAAUCAACCUGGUAAGACAUAUUUACUUUCUGCAGCAUUCCUACUUGAUUGCUGACAUUCCACAAUCUCAUGAUAUUUUGAAUGCAUUAUACUCAUUCUGUUUGAAAAAGAAAUUAACAUGUAUUUAAAUAGUGCAGUUUUGUGAGGGAGAGGAACCGUGCCCAUGUGUGUUAAGCUAAUGACACUGGGUGCAGAAUGAGUCAUCGUGGUUUUUAUUUAUUCAUUCAUCCUCAGAUCCUUUUAAAAGUCUCCAAGGCCCUAAUGACCAUCAUCAUUAUCAUCAGUAAAAACUGCUUUCUGGUGAAAAGGCAAUCGGCAUUAAAUUUAGAGGCAGCAUUAAAUUAUCAGUAAAGAGGACCUGAAAUAGUACUGCACACACAACCCUGGACACAAGAUGCCGGAAAUUCGUAGAGCGCCAGUCAGGCAGUCUUCCUGAUUAAGUUUGUGACCGAGAUGUACUCUUGUCCUUUACAAGGCAAUAUCAUUUAGCUCAGGAGAAAAUAAAGUACAGGCCAGUUUCUACACUCCCGUGUUGAAGGUUAUUAAGUCAAAGAUAGCAGUCAUAACAAAGUCCUCAAUUAUGAAUCAAGUUUUAAGAAUUAUCAGCAUCAAAACUUUAUUCCAAGCAUUUCUCCUCCCUUAGAGUUUCUUGCAUGUAAUAAAGAAAGACUGGCUAGUGAGUGGGUGAGAAAAUAUCAGUGGGAAAUAUUUUGAAUUAAACCCUAUGAAAUCCAAAAAAAAAAAUAAAUAAAUAAAAAAAAAAAAAUAAAAAAAAAAAUAAACCCUAUGAAAUCCUGUCUCUGAGCUCUGUUAUAAAUGUCCCAUUGUCACUCAGCAAGUACAGCAAAGGCUUUACCUUCUCUGUAUAACUUCCAGGAACAGAAUUGGAACUAGCUUCCAAAGGCCAAGGCCCACUCAUCUGGAGAGAAACAUAGGGUGGCAUCUGGAAGUACGAGAGAGGUAGGACCUUGUGAGCAAUCCGGAGGUUUCCAUGUCCUUCCCCCACCCACAGUUCCCUUGCAGUUUGGAUGGUCCGUGCAGUUCAGAGGUUGUCAGGAAGAGAGCCGGACAGGCAAGGUGACUUCGUGUCACAGUGGAAACUGUCGGUUAGUGCCCCGGGUUCACAAUCUGGGACGAGGCUGUCAGAGAUCCUUCUCCGCUGCAAACAAUCCACUCCCUGAAACUCUCUGAGCCACCAGAUUUCUGAUUUUGAAGCGGCUGGUCAGGUAUUCACACUGUCUGCUUUGCAAAACCAAGUACAACAACAGUCAUAAGAUCCCAUGAUAAAACCAAAGGCAUACCAUGCAACGUAAGAUGUAGUUUUUAGUACAGGCUACUACGGACAAUUUCCCAAUUCUCGAAUGUGGUUCUUGUUUAAUGUGGUCAGACUUCUCUAUAUCAAGAGUGACCUUUCUUGGGGCCCCUGGGUGGCUCUGUGGUUGAGCGUCUGCCUUCGGCUCAGGGCAUGACCCCAGGGUCCUGGGAUGGAGUCCCACAUGGGGCUCCCCAUAGGGAGCCUGCUUCUCCUUCUGCCAGUGUCUCUGCCUCCCUCUCUGUGUCUCUCAUGAAUAAACAAAUAAAAUCUUAAAAAAAAAAAAAAGUGACCUAUUAAAAAAAAAAAAAAAAAACAACUGGCAAUUUCUUCAAAGCUUCAGUGUCCGUUUCUGUGAAAUGGAAAAACGAACUAGCCUUGUCCACAUAUAUGCAGCUACUGUUGAUCCAUCGAGACAAUGUGCAUAGCAGUGUUUCUGUUCCUUGUCAAGUAUUGUACCGAUGCCAGGUAUUACUCUCGCGUUUGCUCUUAUUCUUCUGAGAUACCUAGUGGCUUUAGAGAGGGAAGCAUUGAGGCUUCAUCUCUAUCACAUCCUGUGAUAAACAGGCUUUUGUUUGCCCCAUAAUUUAAAAGCCAAGUUUAAAGAUUUGUCUAGUUCUAUUGUUGAUCUUUAUAAAUAGAUUUCCCUAAGGCAGGCAUAUACCGAAAUAGGAAAGGAAUUCAUGUUUAUGAACACUCUUCACCCUUCUGCCGACUUAGUACCUCUAAAAAACAGAAAACGUUUCCUUCCCUGAUCAGAAUCUCCCUUCUAUUGCCUUUUGCAAAGCAUUUAUUUCCCUUGAGUUCCUCUUUCCUGAUGCUUGAGUGACAGGAUUUUCAACUUCCAGGACACUCCCUCCCUUCACAGAGCAGACUGACCAGUUCCUCCUCCCAGCUGGCAGACUUGUGGUGGGGUCCCCUAGGGAAAAGAGUUCUACAUCUUGACACUUUUCAAUAUUCUUUUUUGUUCUGAUUCUUAUCAUCAGAAUCCAAGCAGUACUUUUUUUUUUUUUUUUAACAACUAUGAACAAAGCGUAGGUGGGGUUUCUUUUUGCAUUCUUCUCUUGCACUGCAGGAUCCUUAUAAAUCUUUUGUGCAGGUGUUGUGUAACGGUUAGUUGAGUUUCUUU
rnacentral:lncRNA from 1 species